rnacentral:rRNA from 1 species
CCUACGGGAGACAGCAGUGAGGAAUAUUGGUCAAUGGGCGCGAGCCUGAACCAGCCAAGUAGCGUGAAGGAUGACUGCCCUACGGGUUGUAAACUUCUUUAAUAAAGGAAUAAAGUGAGGCCCGUGUGCCUUUUUGUAUGUACUUUAUGCAUAAGGAUCGGCUAACUCCGUGCCCGCCGCCGCGGUCAUACGGAGGAGCCGAGCGUUAUCCGGAUUGAUUGGGUUUAAAGGGAGCGUAGAUGGGUUGUUAAGUCAGUUGUGAAAGUUUGCGGCUCAACCGUAGAAUUGCAAUUGAGACUGGCAGUCUUGAGUAGAGUGGAGGUAGGCGGAAUUCGUGGUGUAGCGGUGAAAUGCUUAG